GGCGCCAAUGCUUAAUAGAGCGUCUGUCUAAUAAACAUGAGAUCCUGUGUUUGAUCCCCAGUGGUGCCU
rnacentral:tRNA from 1 species